UACGGGAGGCAGCAGUGGGGAAUAUUGCACAAUGGGCGCAAGCCUGAUGCAGCCAUGCCGCGUGUAUGAAGAAGGCCUUCGGGUUGUAAAGUACUUUCAGUCGUGAGGAAGGUGUUAAGGUUAAUAACCUUAGCAAUUGACGUUAGCGACAGAAGAAGCACCGGCUAACUCCGUGCCAGCAGCCGCGGUAAUACGGAGGGUGCGAGCGUUAAUCGGAAUUACUGGGCGUAAAGGGCACGCAGGCGGUUAAUUAAGUUGGAUGUGAAAUCCCCGGGCUUAACCUGGGAAUGGCAUUCAAGACUGGUUAGCUAGAGUCUUGUAGAGGGGGUAGAAUUCCAUGUGUAGCGGUGAAAUGCGUAGAGAUGUGGAGGAAUACCGGUGGCAAAGGCGGCCCCUGGACAAAGACUGACGCUCAUGUGCGAAAGCGUGGGGAGCAAACAGGAUUAGAUACC
rnacentral:rRNA from 1 species